CAACGAUCAAAGCAAAACUAAGGAAACUUAGUGACGCAAAGCUAUAGGAGCUAAGCUUGUAAAAACAAGUAUGCUAGCCAGUUGCCGUU
rnacentral:ncRNA from 1 species